rnacentral:rRNA from 1 species
ACGCACGCUGGCGGCGUGCUUCACCCCUGCCAGUCGCACGCUGAAGCUUGGUGCUUGCACUGGGUGGAUGAGUGGCGAACGGGUGAGUAAUACGUGAGUAACCUGCCCUUGACUCUGGGAUAAGCCUGGGAAACUGGGUCUAAUACUGGAUAUGACAUGCCACUGCAUGGUGGUGUGUGGAAAGGGUUUUACUGGUUUUGGAUGGGCUCACGGCCUAUCAGCUUGUUGGUGGGGUAAUGGCCUACCAAGGCGACGACGGGUAGCCGGCCUGAGAGGGUGACCGGCCACACUGGGACUGAGACACGGCCCAGACUCCUACGGGAGGCAGCAGUGGGGAAUAUUGCACAAUGGGCGGAAGCCUGAUGCAGCGACGCCGCGUGAGGGAUGACGGCCUUCGGGUUGUAAACCUCUUUCAGCACGGAAGAAGCGAGAGUGACGGUACGUGCAGAAGAAGCGCCGGCUAACUACGUG